rnacentral:rRNA from 1 species
UGCCAGCAGCCGCGGUAAUACGGAAGGUGCAAGCGUUAAUCGGAAUUACUGGGCGUAAAGCGCGCGUAGGUGGUUUGUUAAGUUGGAUGUGAAAGCCCUGGGCUCAACCUAGGAACUGCAUCCAAAACCAACUCACUUGAGUACGAUAGAGGGAGGUAGAAUUCAUAGUGUAGCGGUGGAAUGCGUAGAUAUUAUGAAGAAUACCGGUGGCGAAGGCGGCCUCCUGGAUCUGUACUGACACUGAGGUGCGAAAGCGUGGGUAGCGAACAGGAUUAGAUA